UGUCCAGAGAUGAUGGAGAAAGUGUGCAGCAGCCACACGCCAGAAGAGAACCACGUCCAUUUUCAUACAUCCAGCAAGGGAAGAAGGAUUGGUCUUGUCGGUCCAGCAGCUUUGGAGAGCACCAUGGUGAUUGAUGAUGGAAGCACGUCCACCAGCAGCAGCAGCCAUCAAACGUCCAGCAAACUACAAGCAGCCUCCACACAAGUACCGCGAGGGAAAGAUGAAAAGGACUUUGAAAAGAGAGUCAAAGAGUGCUUGAAAUUGUCGGGAGGGAA
rnacentral:ncRNA from 1 species